UACAGAGGUCUCAAGCGUUGUUCGGAUUCAUUGGGCGUAAAGUGUGCGUAGGUGGCGUCGUAAGUCAGGUGUGAAAUUUCGGAGCUUAACUCCGAAACUGCAUUUGAUACUGCGGUGCUUGAGGACUGGAGAGGAGACUGGAAUUUACGGUGUAGCAGUGAAAUGCGUAGAGAUCGUAAGGAAGACCAGUGGCGAAGGCGGGUCUCUGGACAGUUCCUGACACUGAGGCACGAAGGCCAGGGGAGCAAACGGG
rnacentral:rRNA from 1 species